AACGAGCGCUGGCGGCAUGCCUAACACAUGCAAGUCGAACGAGAUCUUCGGGUCUAGUGGCGCACGGGUGCGUAACGCGUGGGAAUCUGCCCUUUGGUUCGGAAUAACAGUUGGAAACGACUGCUAAUACCGGAUGAUGACGAAAGUCCAAAGAUUUAUCGCCAGAGGAUGAGCCCGCGUAGGAUUAGCUAGUUGGUGUGGUAAAGGCGCACCAAGGCGACGAUCCUUAGCUGGUCUGAGAGGAUGAUCAGCCACACUGGGCCUGAGACACGGCCCAGACUCCUACGGUAGGCAGCAGUGGGGAAUAUUGGACAAUGGGCGAAAGCCUGAUCCAGCAAUGCCGCGUGAGUGAUGAAGGCCUUAGGGUUGUAAAGCUCUUUUACCCGGGAUGAUAACGACGGUACCGGGAGAAUAAGCUCCGGCUAACUCCGUGCCAGCAGCCGCCGUAA
rnacentral:rRNA from 1 species